UUGAAACUUUUAUCCUAUGUAUUUUGAAGCACUGAAUUAAUAUUAACUUAUAUGUUUUAUAAUAUAUUGAUAUAUUCUAUGUAGUUGCAAGCUUUUAUAUUUUAUGCAAUUUGCAAGAGUUUGUCUUCAAAUCAUUAUGGGUCUAUUUCAUUAAUUGAAUUUGCAUAAUAUCUGAUUCAUUCCCCUUUAAAGCUGUCAAACCUGAGGAUCGUAAGAUUUGAAGGGGAUAUAAAAUUGUGACUCAAAGGUCAUAACUUGAGUCAUAAGAGUUAUGAGUACAUGAAAAAUCAUAUUUAUAGACUGGUGCAUGCAUUAAAAAUAAUAUAGACAAUAAACUAACUCGUAAGGAUCCUCAAAGUAGUUAGCUUCAAUACAUAACAGAACUAAAAGCGGGUUAACAAUUUAUAAAAUUACUCUCCUGCAAGAACAGAGAAAAGUAUUAAGAGGAAAAUACAGAGUAGAACACAGUGCGAACCAGUGAUGAGGAGGGCAACAUCGGCAUGAUGGUCAUGAGUGUUGUGGUAGCUCACAAUGGUGAGGCUAGUGUUCGUAGCAGCAGCAUUAGUGCUUCAAUGGCUAUUGAUAACGAGACUGAUGGUUGUUUGACAAUAGUAGCAGAACAAAAGGGCCAUGUGAUUUGGGUUUCUUUUUCAGGUCAACCUUUAGUCUUUUAACCUAGAAAUGCGCUGUUUUAACUCUUGAGCCUGCGUGUUCAAACCAAAGCGGAACAAUGUGGUGCACGAUCCUGCAAUUUCAUGAGCAACCAUGCAAUCAGAGUACUGUCUGUGCCUCCUGAAUCUGCAAUGCGCAUGUGUCCCUCAAACUCGCAGGAUGGGAAAAAAGAGAAGCACAACUAUGGGGAGACUAAUAUUCUCCUAAAUAAACAAAAUGAAGAAGAACGAGAGCAAAUGUCUUUGUAUGCUCUAUACUCUUCAAAGCAAUAUUGAUCAGAGUGUAUUCAUUAGAGAAUCUGUA